rnacentral:lncRNA from 1 species
CCCAGCUUGGUUUGGUUUCUGUCUUCCCUUUAUGCCUUUUUUCAGGAUAUUUUCAUUUGCUUUACUGUCUCCUGGACACCCUCCAACCCAUGAGGGGCAGAAGCGGGCUUCCAGCCUCAUAUCAGCAGGCUACAGCUCUCAUGGGAGCACGAGAGCAUGUCUGAGGAGAAAUAAAUGCAAUCUGUGCUCAGCAAGAGGCUGUGGCAGAGCUUCACACUAAUGCCUUCUGUUAAUUUCAGAGUCCCCUCAAGAGAAAAAAGGCAUAUAAAAAGGAAGCUGAAAUUCCUCAAGGAUAACGGCGAUGCAGCGGUCACCUGAUGCAAAACCGCUUUGGAGGGGCUGGCACCUGCAGGGCCCCUGUGCCUGCAGUGUCACCUCCCGGUCACAAAGCAGGAGGGGGAAAUGGAGCUGUAAAAGUUCCCAGCUUGUGUGCAGAGAGCUGUGAGGGGCUGCCAGAAAGUUGCAAUAGCCCAGGGAGUACCCAGGAAUUAUUUUUGGCUGUUGAAAUACUUGUAUGUAGCUGGCACCUUGAACAUUAAGGAAAGGCAGCCGUUCUCCAAAAACACAGAAGCUUUGCUUGUUUUAAGCAUCAAUUGUGACAACAUCAUUAGAAAAUCAGCAUCAUUACAACCACAAGGACCUUUUCCAUGUGAGAAUGCGUAAAACAUUAGAAGUGAACUUCUGUCUUCUGACAUGUGUUGCACCCUCCAAAUGAGCUGGAAAGAAAGUAGGAGUUUAUCAGGCAUCAAGUUCAGCCAUCCAAAUAUCGCAAUCCUCAUUUUUGUUGCUAGUCGUAUGCAAUUUUGAAAUGGUUUGUAAAUUUAAUUGUCAGUGUAUAGAGUAUGCUCAGGCCAUGCAAAAGCAACAGCACUGCCUAGGAUUAGCAGCUGUAUUUCUUAGGCAAGUAGGUCUAACCUGCUUUGUUGGAAGCAAAAUUGCCCCUGUGCUGUUUUAGCAAGGUGGCAGACAGAUAGGGUGACACUUGGUGCUGUGAACACUCAGAAAUGGUAGCACUUCUGGGUCAUCAGUCGCUCCACUAUAAAGCUGGAGCAAAGUUAUCUGCUUAUAUUGCCUGUUGUUACUACUUCCAAUGGCCAGGAGAUGAAAACAGAGGAUCUCCUUCCUUUUUACUGCACUAAUAUUAUGAAUGAUGGUAAUUGUGUUGUUUUUUUUUUCUUGUUUGUUUGUUUUUUUCAGGCUGAUGAGAAUCAGCAUUCAUUUUGGAAUUUUUGCUAUUGAUGGUCAGUACUUAAGUUAGGCAUCACUAUAAAUCAAGAUUUAGAACAUAUCUUGUCCCAGUGCGCGCUUCUACUCCUUGUGUGUUACAACUUACGUGAAUGAUUGGAUGCCAUAUUAAACUACUAUAUUACGCUAUAGUCUAUGUCUGACUUUCAGAGGAUCUUGAGUGGUACAGGUAGAUCACUUUAAUCUACUUUUAAUCCACUAUUUGUGUAGCGUUUGUUAGAUAUGGACAGCAGUUUGAGGUUGGAAGAACGAAAACUCUUGGAUGUUAGACAUUUCUAAUUCAUACUUAGCUCUA